rnacentral:lncRNA from 1 species
UUAAAAAGAUAAUUAUAAAAAGAAUGAUUAUCCAAAGGAAAACAGAUGUCUUUCAUCUGUAAAAACAGUCACCCAUCACCUCUUGGUGAUUUUGUCUUCUUCUUCCAAGUUGGUGAGAAUUAACCGACUUUACCCAUCUAUAAAUAGUACUUCUCUCCCUUUUGUAAAAGUUAGAUGAGCAAUAAUAAUUAUAUCUUUCUCUUACUCUCUUAUACUCUUCACACAAAACAUAAAGCUACUCUCUCUCUCGUUGACUCACACCAAGAAGAAAAUACAUAUAUAAUAAAUCAGUCCUUCUUUUAUCCCUACUUAUUCAACACGUUAUCAGCACGAGGCUCUGAUCAACUGAAGUUUAUUAAUCUGAAAAGUUCUUAAACCAACCGAGGUAAUGUUUAAAUUUAUGUAUUUUAAUAUACUUAUUUUAUUUAAAUUUUAUUAUUGCUUCGGAGUGAGAGGCUGGACCUUCUCCGUUCGGGAUGAUAGGCGCUGCCUUCCCC